UUCAUUUUAUUAAUUGGCUUUGGAUCCAUUUUAUUACAUGACUGCAUUUUUCCAAGUAAAUGAGCAAAUUCAUUAAUCACACACACUUGACCGUCUUGAUAAGUUACUGAGUUCUUUCAGUUCAGUCAUACAGAGGAGUAUAAAGGGAAAACUAAUACAGAAACACAGCUGGCCUAGUUGCUAGGGAGCAAAACACUCACAGUUUUCACAAUAUAACUGGCUUGUACACACUAAGUGAUAUCUGGCAGAGAAAUACUUUUUGACAAAUCCAAAAUGUAAUAAAUGAACUAUUACUGUUAUUUUAAAACAACAAAUAACUACAUACAGAAGUACAUUUGCUUUUUGGUGUCUUUGCGUGCAAUUGUUUCUCAGAUAGGAAGUAAGGCAGAACAGAGGUUAAAGGAGGCUGGCUCAGAUUUGUGAGAAGAUUGAGAGUGAAGCUAAGAGUAAGAAAUUAGGAGAACAUGAGUAGAUGGUCUGAAGUGUGUCCAUUGGAAUGUUUGGUCACAUGUAACAAAAAGCAGCAACUUUGGAUUCUCACAGUGGUUUCUACAGUUAUCAACACUUGAAAAACGUAUAAUUUAAAAAGUUAUACUUUAUUUAUAUAAUUUUCAAAUAUUUCCAGCAAAAAUAUACACAAUAAGCUCUGUGCUAUAUAGUGGGAUGACAUUACUGCAAAGCAAGCAUCAAAUCCUGUAGUAUAACAUUGAUGCAACCAGAGAAAGUACAGUAUGAUAAGGACUAUACUGUUAAUCACAUAUACUAUAAUUUAGUUCAUGCGUCUCUGAGCACCUUAAAAACUUCAGUUUAUGUCUAAAGAAUCUACUUGUAAGGGAGGAAAAAUGAUGAUAGACAGAGAGAACUGCAGGAUUUAAGCAAUAAAAUCUCUCAAAAUUUUGUUCAAAUGCCUAUUUUUGUUUGGAUAAAGUGAGACAGUGACCAUUUUGCUAUACAGAACAUUUGAGUGUUCCAUAUCUUGUGUGUGUGGGUGAGUGUUUGAGUACCAAUGAGCCAUUUAGGACUCUGUACCAGAGGCCUCUGCUACUGCCUCAUCUUUGGAGGCUGGUGGCGUACCGUUGCUCUCUGACGCUGGCUCUUCAGCUUGGAUAACAGGAGUUUCAACAGCCUUUGCUGCUGCUUCUACUUCCUCUGCUACCUUCUGCACUUCCUGUGCCACCGCUGCCACUUCCUCUGCUGUUUCAUGAACAACCCCCGCCACCUCAGCGACCACCUCUGCAGUCUCUGCAACUGUCUCGGCAACCUUUUCCACAACGGUCUCAAGAGUUCCUGUCUUCCCUCUAGUGGCCUCGGCUGUUUCCAGCAAGACCUCAGGUGCCUCAGCAGGAACAUCCUCCUCGGCUGCGCUCUCUACAGUUUCUGCCACCUCACCUUCCUCUGCACCAGCUUCUUCUAAACAGACAACAGAGAAGAAAGAAAAAUAAGGCAUCAAGCUACGUUUUCAUUUUUGGCACACUCAUACUUACUUUUGAAUCUCACAUAAAAAUGACUGGGUUGAAAUGAUAAGAAAUUAUAUUUUAAAAUGAAACCCAUUUUAGGACUAUACGAUUUAAAAAAAGAAAAACUGCAUAUUUUGCAAUCAAAAUGUAAAAAAUAUAAUAAUAUAAUAAUGUAUUUAUUUUUAUAAUUAUUUAAUAGUGGCAGUAAUUCAAAUCAUCUUGUCAUAAAUUAACUACUACUAAUUAAUUAUUACCAUGAUGUUUUUAUAAAUUAGAGAAUCAGAGAAUUUUUCUCAUAAUUUAUUAUUUAUAUAAUAAAAAUAAUUAUUACAAUUUAUUACAUAUUACAUUGCAUUGAAAUAAAAUAACAGAUUUUUUAUUUAUGAAUAUAGAGAUGUAAUAUUAUAGAUCUUGCAAAAUAUAACUUUUGAUUCAGGAGUGUAAUGAUACCUUGACAGUUUUUGUAAGGUGGUACUAUAAUCACCAAUAUCUAUAAUAUUACUUUCCUAAUAUUCAUAAAUGAAUCUUUUUUGAGAACUGUACCAACUGCAAUUAUUUACCUAAGAAAUAUAUAACAAUAUAAUGAACUAUAUUUAUAAUAAUUUUUUUGUAAUGUAAGAAAACUAUAAUUAUUACUCAAAUAAUUAUUUUUAUUAUAUAAAGAGUAUUGACAAUUUAUUUAGUUUAUAGGUAUAUUAUAAUAGGAUUAAUUUAACUGAAUUUAAUUUAUGCUAGCUACCUAAGAACAUAAGUGCAGCUAAGAACAUCCAUAUUUAAAGCAUUUACACUCGCCACCAAGCCUUUCAAAUCCUCUCACACACAACAUCCAUCUUAUCAAACCUCCUGGAAACCUAGCUUUGUCAAAAUCAAACAUGACCCGAUCACUGCAGGCAGCAUGCAAAACCCAAGAAUGAGGAGGGAGGGUGAAAAGAGAAACUGAACAGAAACUACAGGGAGAAAGGGGCUGGGAGGACAGGUGAGGAGAGGGAAUACAAAGAUGGUUGAGCCUUACCAUCUGUUCAAAGUUAGCAGUACCAGCAACCCUGUGAAUUCCAGCAAAACUAAAUAACAACCAAAGGGGCUUUGUUGUGCGUGUUUAAUUAGUUUACUCACAGAGGGAAGUAUUCUUUUACAUGUCUUUCAAUUUCUACUGUAUUACACCACAAUUAACAUUUGAAAUGAGUGUUUGAAAGUCAAUGGAAUGAAAAAUAUCAGUUCAAUGGAAAAAGCAGGAAUCAUAAGGACAUUAGCUCAGGAGAGAAUCAUCCAAAAAGUUCUGAAUGAAGACUAUAGGUCACCAGCCCCAACUGUCCGAAUAAGUUUAUUCUGGAAAGAGUCAGAACAAAGAGACAGGAAAGUUAGGAAAGAGAUUAGGUGAAGUUUUGAGUUUGUUGUUCAAUAUUAUGAUUUCUUAGUUUGUUUUUUUUAUGGCAUUUGAAAGUCCACAGUAUAAAACUGUUCAUAUUGGCUGGCAAGACUUUCUGGACUGGACUGCAGUCAUUAAUAGAGAAUCACAGGUAAGUAAGUUGGGAAAAAGGGUUGUGUGAGAGAAUAGGAGUGCACAGGGGUGCAGAUGGAUCAUAUACACAGUUUAUUUAAGAGGAAAGUGACACAGUGUCAAAGAGAAAGGCACCCAGUUCUGAUUAACAGGCUUUCUGACAAACAGGAUCAGGAUUAGAAGGGUAACAUGAGAACAACUACUAAACCAAUCAUACAUUUAGAUUUGUGCAUUUGGGAGAUGCCUUUAUUCAAAGUGAUUGCAUUCAAGGUAUCAGUUUUAUCAGCUCAUAAUUACCCUCACAAAUUGAACCUUGGCAUCGUUUGGCAUUGUUUUUUUAGCUCACUUUUCAGUUUCAGUCUGUGGAAGAUCUAGGCUCUUUAUAAACAAGCAUUUGACAUUGCAAUUUAGUCAUUAUUCUACCAAUAUCUGCCCAUUAUAGUAUCAUCAAAGGAUAUAGCAAAUAGCAAAUAUUAAUCAGAACAGGUCAUAACCUAUGUGCCAAUAAUCAGUUUUUGUCCAGUGUUUUGCAGCUAUCAGACAACAAGGUAUCAGGAUCAACUGAAUGGGAGGAGACUGAAAAGUAGCAGGCGUCAUCAUUUAGUUAACCUUUGACCUUUCUAUAAUAUAGUUCGAGUUUACACAGAAAUAACUCCCAAAAAUACUUGUUAUGCAGCAGUUCAGAUCAUGCGAGUUAAAGCACAAGUUAAUUUGAACAAAAUUCACUAAAUGGAUCCUACUGGUUUUAAGACAAACAGAUGUGUUACACAGACAUUUAAGAGACAGAACUGUAAUUAGUCCAUUUAAAUAUCAUAAAGUUAUUUAUUAUGGUACUUCACGGAGAGAUUAUGACAUUAAAAGAUCACUCAUGAACUCACCAUUGCCAUUCUCCCCACCUAAAAAAAAAAACAACAACAACAAAAAUAUUAAAUGAUGGCACACUGUGAAUCUGAAAUGUCAUUAAACCCUGAAGCUGCUGUAUAAACUCCCUCCUAUCAGAACGCAUUACAACACAUAAUAUCUCCUUAUUUAUAAUACUUAAAAGAGAGCUUUUUAAUACUGCUGUUAUUAGAUAAGACAGUUUAGAUAUUUUGGGCUCAGGUGCAGAAGUGUUAGAGACGCUUGGAUUUGACACAAUUAUUUAAUGAUCUGUCUGGAAUUACCGUGCUGACCACGAGAUAAAUGUGAGAGGGUGCCAAAUGUCUUCCACACACCCCAACAUGUCUAUUGUCGUGAUUGUAAUUCUGAUGUUUUGGAAGGGCUGCAAUGGAUUAUUCAUAUUUAUCUACAUUAGAUCUCAUAUUUUUGGAUUCAGACUGAUUCUAAACCGACAAAUUAGAGCAUUCCUGAUGCCACUGAGAAUGAAAUCUUCAGGGUUACUACCAGUGCCAUGUAAAUAGCAUUGUUUUUAUUAAAUAUGUCCAAUAAGUUGCUGAAGAUUAUCUGCGUAUUACCUUAUACCUUUAUCUUGAGAAAGCUAUGCAACUAGUAUUAAAUUUUUUACAGACAGGUAAAUGGUUUAGUUUAAAAAGGCCAUAGGAAACUCCUUUUCAGAAUCCCAGAAGUGACUAAAUCACAACACUAAAAGCAGAAUUAACACUGUUUAACCAGACCAUAGAUAAGACUUACCCUUGGGUGGCCAUGCUUUGGGUUUCCAGUCAGACUUGGGACGAGCAUCAAUUUCAGAAACACGAUCAACAAAACGUGCGUGGUCUGUUGAAACUGUUUUAUAAGCCUAUCACAGAAUUCAAUAAAGACAUUAUUUAAUUUAACAAGUGAUCUGACAUCAAACUAUAUCAUCAAUGGUUUGAGUUUUAAUCAGACUUACAUAUGCCAAGGCACCUGCGAAGGCUCCACCGCAGAGGACGACGUAAAAGAAAUUCUCACCAGAGCCGCCAGGAACCAACGACAUGAGCCUCCGUGGAAC
ensembl:lncRNA